UUAAGGAAGCUCGCUUGUCAUGUUUUGGAAUUUUGGUCAGAUUUUCGGAAUCCUCUGGUUUUAUCCAUUUGAAUGCCUUAACAAAAUUUGCCCGGUGACCCCCAUUUUUCUUUUUAUAAUUCUUUUACACGUAUAAUGAUAAGCUGUCUGUUAAAGUCUUAUAAAAUUUAAAUUACUUUUUAAUAAGUUUUGAGGACUUAAACUUGUCAAUGAUAAAGCUAU
rnacentral:lncRNA from 1 species